rnacentral:sRNA from 1 species
GGGUGCGGUGGCGCGUGCCUGUAAUCCAAGCUAUUGGGAGGUUGAGGCUGGAGGAUCGUUUGAGCUCAGGAGUUCUGGGCUGCUGUGGACUAUGCUGAUCAGGUGUCCGCACUAAGUUCGGUAUCGAUAUGGUGCUCCUGGGGGAGCCUGGGACCACCAGGUUGACCAAGGAGGGGUAAGUAUAUAUUGGUUAAAUUAAAUAUGGAAGCGAGUUACCACCCACUAGCCACCAAAGCUGCAACUACUAAGCAACUAACCAACCAU